AAAACACCCAUAACUAUGACCCUCAUUCGGAAAUAGACACCUGCACCGCGAGGGAAAAAGGCGCACGAAAGUGGCAGGCAGAUGAAGACAAAACACGGCAUAAUACUUUUACGUUUUGCAAUCUACAAAGAACCAGCUGAUUCUUCAGCAGAGCAUCCCCUGUUGCUUCUCCUUGCUCCCCAGUCCCUGAGCUCCUGCUGCUGCACCCACAGGCCCAGAGAGGAGGACAGCUCCGAGGCAGAUGAGGGAUGGGUCCCAGGACGGUCCAUCGGCGGUGGAGCUGGCCAUCCUGGUGUCCCUGAAGAGGCCACGCCAGUCUCCAAUGGAGCAUUUCCUCCUCAGCCUUGUUCCUGCUCUGGAGAGCAGCUGGGUCCUUUU
ensembl:lncRNA